GAAAUACAGAGGAUUUCAUUUCAGUGUGGAUUUUACAAUCAUCUCUACUUGUGCUUUGGAUGUUUUGGGAUCCUGGAAAAGAUGAUCUUCUCCUUUGAGACCUUUCAUCUCCUACAUUAUUCAGCGCGGGAAACCACUGUCCCGACCCUCACAGUGCUGCCCCCUUCUGGCCAGGAGCUCUCCAGCAAGCGAACAGCCUCGCUGGUUUGCCUGGCCAAUGGCGGCUUCCCCUCCAGCUGGGCGCUGAGCUGGAAAGUGGAUGGAGCGUCAAGGGGCUCCUCCGUGGCGAGCAGCACCGGGCUGCUCCAGAGCGGCGGCCUUUACGGCUGGAGCAGCACGCUGACGCUGACCGAGCAGGAGUGGAGCUCGGCAAAGGAGGUGACCUGCGAGGCCACCGAAGGAGGCCAGUCCGCGAUCCCAAAGACACUGAGGAAGAGCGACUGUCUGGGGUGACCAUACCAGCCCUGACUUACCGCCUGUCACUUAUUAAUACCGACAUGUUGGCUUCUCCUAAUGCUUGCGGUAGCUGCUUUGGUCUAGGUUGUGUGCUACACUCGUACUUUAUACAGUCUGUGUCUGUUUUGUUAUUCCCCAUGAGUUAUGUAAUCUGCAUGUGAUGCCUUGUAGUGUUUUACAAUGUAACGCUUUCAGCUUUGACAGAAGGAAAAUUAAGACUUAUCUACCAUCAC